UCGAGUAACCGCAUAAACAUCUCACACAAAAGCAAUUCGUUGUAGACUUUAUUGAUCUAGAGAGAUCACCUAUUACAUUACAUCAAUUCACUUGAUCUCCCUGUCUCGAGAAGCUACGUGCCUAACCAACAUAUCACGUGUCACAACUUCCCGUCCCGAUUUUAGAAUACACCCACAUGCUGAGUCUCAAUGCCUAUGUCAUGGCGACACCGAUGUCUCCUCAUUCCUCCUCUGCAAUCAAGUAAGCGUCUGUUGUCCUAGCGAAACAACUGCGUUGACUCCACCCGUUGACGAGGGUACUGAAGAUCUGAACUUGUGGCAAAGGAAGGUUUGGAGGCAGAGCUCGUCAUUGGUGGCGAAAAGAAGAAGGGGACGUAUGAGGAAUGGCACUUUGGAAAAAGAAGGGGAGAUAGUGGGGGAGUCAACCCACUUAUUGAAGUGGUCGAAACUCUCUUCUUCCUCUUUUUCGCCUUUUCGUCCCCUUCUGCUUCGGAUCGGUCGAUCUCCGUUCUUGGGUUCUUGGGACAUUGAUGGCAACAACAGAGGAAAGUUAAAGGGCAC
rnacentral:lncRNA from 1 species